rnacentral:tRNA from 1 species
AGGGUUGUGGCUCAGCGGUAGAGCACUUGCCUACCACGUGCAAAGCCCUGGGUUCGAUUCUCAGCACCCCAU